rnacentral:rRNA from 1 species
UACGAAGGGUGCAAGCGUUACUCGGAAUUACUGGGCGUAAAGCGUGCGUAGGUGGUUCGUUAAGUCUGAUGUGAAAGCCCUGGGCUCAACCUGGGAAUGGCAUUGGAAACUGGCGACCUAGAGUGCGGUAGAGGGUAGUGGAAUUCCCGGUGUAGCAGUGAAAUGCGUAGAGAUCGGGAGGAACAUCCGUGGCGAAGGCGACUACCUGGACCAGCACUGACACUGAGGCACGAAAGCGUGAGGAGCAAACAGG